ensembl:lncRNA
UUCCAAGGAAUAAGCAUCUUUUAAUUUCAUGGCUGCAGUCACCAUCUGCAGUGAUUUUGGAGUCCAAAAAAAUAGUCUGACAUUGUUUCCACUGCUUCCCCAUCAAUUUCCCAUGAAGUGAUGGGACCAGAUGCCAUAAUCUUCGUUUUCUGAAUGUUGAGCUUUAAGCCAAAUUUUUCACUCUCCUCUUUCACUGUCAUCAAGAGGCUCUUUAGUUCCUCUUCACUUUCUGCCGUAAGGGUGGUGACAUCUGCAUAACUGAGGUUAUUGAUAUUUCUCCUGGCAAUCUUGAUUCCAGCUUGUGCUUCCUCCAGCCCAGCGUCUCUCAUGAUGUACUCUGCAUGUAAGUUAAAUAAGCAGGGUGACAAUAGACAGCCCUGACAUACUCGUUUUCCUAUUUGGAACCAGUGUGUUGUUCUAUGUCCAGUUCUACUUGCCUCAUUAGCCCUUCUUCUCAGUUCAAGGUGGAGUUUUGUUGUUGUUUUUUUUUUUUUAAGCUGUGGAGUAAGGUGGGAGAAGACAGAAUUCUCUCUAUUCCCUUAUGAGAACUUACACUUUUGAAAACCAGCCUUAGGAAGAAAUAUGUAUGUGACAUUUCUACCUUCUGCCAAAAUAUUUCUUUCUACUAGGGUAAUGAGCCUGGGAUGGUCAAGCUUGAUAUAGGAAGGGAUGAGGACAGACUGAAAUUAUUAGAAGGAUAUUGCAAAAAAAAAAAAAAGAGAGAGAGUAAACAAAAUCAUUUUGUACAUACUUUAUGAAAGUUAUGUCAUCCUAUGUGUAUUGUUCCAUAACUUGCCUUUUCUUAUUCAGUAUGCCUUAAAGAUAUUUCCAUGUUUCUCUAUACAGCUCUACAUUAUUCAUUCAGUGGUCAUUUAUUGAGCCUUUGUUGUGUGCCAGGGGCUGUGUAUAUUGCAUGGAAAAACAAGCGAAGUCUCAUUCUUGUUAGUCUUACUUGUUAAGGAGAAAGAUAACAAUUAAAUGUACAUGUACAUGAGAAAUAUAACAUGAAAUGAUGGGAAUUACAAAGAAAAUGGGAUGAAAGGACAGAGAAAGGGGUGGCUUUUUAGACAGAGAGGACUUCUCUGCAGAGGCAACUUCAUUCUUUUUUUUUUCAGCUGCUUCAUGAUAUUGCAUCCCCCAAGGUGUCCCUGGUGGCUCAGAUGAAUGGCUUUUUGUAUCCAGUGUCCAUGUAUCUACAGGAUCUUUGGUCUUUUCCCUUUGAUUUUUUGGAGCUGAUGUGUUCAGGGUAAUAGUAUUUUACCUUAUCUAUGUAGCAAAUAUUUUCUCCCAUUAUUUGUUCUUAUCUUUGUCAUAUAAAGCUGCUUUUAUUUAUAUAGUCAAAUGUAUCUGUAUAUCCUUAUAAUAAUCAUACCUCCAUCAGCCUUUUUGAUUUUGAGUUUGUAAAUUUAAAUUCAGGAUACAUUUCUUGAGUAUUCAGUAUAUGUAUGGAGAAGGAAAUGGCAAC